rnacentral:rRNA from 1 species
AGUGAACGCUGGCGGUAGGCCUAACACAUGCAAGUCGAACGGCAGCACAGUAAGAGCUUGCUCUUACGGGUGGCGAGUGGCGGACGGGUGAGGAAUACAUCGGAAUCUACUUUUUCGUGGGGGGUAACGUAGGGAAACUUACGCUAAUACCGCAUACGACCUACGGGUGAAAGCAGGGGAUCUUCGGACCUUGCGCGAUUGAAUGAGCCGAUGUCGGAUUAGCUAGUUGGCGGGGUAAAGGCCCACCAAGGCGACGAUCCGUAGCUGGUCUGAGAGGAUGAACAGCCACACUGGAACUGAGACACGGUCCAGACUCCUACGGGAGGCAGCAGUGGGGAAUAUUGGACAAUGGGCGCAAGCCUGAUCCAGCCAUACCGCGUGGGUGAAGAAGGCCUUCGGGUUGUAAAGCCCUUUUGUUGGGAAAGAAAAGCAGCAGGUUAAUACCCCGCUGUUCUGACGGUACCCAAAGAAUAAGCACCGGCUAACUUCGUG